rnacentral:lncRNA from 1 species
CCUGGGGGGCUACCGGCUAAGACGAAGCCGAUUCAGAUUGGAGCAAAUCGAACAUCGAUUUGAUUCUGUCGUACCGCGUAAACAGCCAAGAUGGCGAUCCCCGAUUCGUGACGUCACAUGAAGUUCGGCAAGCCGAUUGAACGAAUGAUUUCAGUACUUUUGACACUAAAAUCGCUACCGCGUAAAAAAUCGAAGUUCGGCGUCUGAAGCCGAUUCCCAUUGGAAGUGUCAGUUGAAGCCGGGCACUUUUCAGUAACCGUGAUCAAUUUUAAUUUCUUAUUUUCACUGUUUUUCACCAAUAUUAGGAGCUAUUUACGGUGGGCGACAAAUUUUAGAAACAUCUUAAUCAAUAUAAAUUGAUAUCGGCGUGGAUUUUCGUGUUUAAAUACCUAAAUACAGUGUCAUGGAGAUAGUCGUUUUAUGGGCUGCUGCGGAAGAAAAUGUCUUCAGAAUCUUGAGCAAAUCGAUUGCAGGAUACUUCGAGAGAAAAGCCAGUAUAUACUUCUCACAGGUACAUCUAUUUAUAACAUUAUUUCUGACAAGUGGCUCAAUGUUUACAGAGGAAAAGUUGCUGAACUUACUAGAAGCGAUUUUUGAUCAUUUCAUACUUAUCUAUUUUGUUUUGUUUCAGAGAGUAGCUACAUUGGUAAUUUUAGAUUAUCAAAAGAUGCAUUUCGGACUUUGUAUCAUGACUUAGGACCAUAUCUGAAGGUCCAAUGCUCUACAACUGUGCAAUCGACUUUAAGUGACAAAUGCCCUCAAUCAGCCUGCAAUCGUGAGAUAAUCUAUCAAGUUUCCUCGGACAAAAACUGAGCAUAUAGAAGUCUCCAGAGGUUUUAAUGACAAAUUUGGAUUUCUUGGAGUACUUGGAUGCAUCCAUGGCACACACAUUGCCAUUAUCCAACCUCACAAGUGGGAAGAGGCCUUCUUCAAUAGCAAGUAUUACCAUUCAUUGCAUGUUAUGUUGGUUUGUGAUGGAGAUAUGUGCAUUACAUUUGUGAUGCAUCCAAUGGGAGUGUUAGUGCUAGACUGCUAGCCAAGAUAACCAUAUUUGGAACAACAGCACUUUGAGAAGGGAAAAGGAACAUCUCCUUAAUUUUAAUAUGUUUAAGUUCAUUAAGUGGACUUGUGUGGUCCUUGAAAUGUAAAUUAUGAAGUCAGUGUGGUGUAAUCAAA